rnacentral:rRNA from 1 species
UACAGAGGGUGCAAGCGUUGUUCGGAAUUACUGGGCGUAAAGCGCGUGUAGGCGGCGUCGUUAGUCGGAUGUGAAAGCCCUCGGCUCAACCGAGGAAGUGCAUCCGAUACUGCGAUGCUUGAGUGUUGGAGGGGGUGGCGGAAUUCCCGGUGUAGAGGUGAAAUUCGUAGAUAUCGGGGAGGAACACCUGUGGCGAAGGCGGCCACCUGGACAACAACUGACGCUGAGACGCGAAAGCGUGGGUAGCAAACAGG